AUGAGUGAUUAUCCAAUUUUACAACUCUUUCUUCAAAGAAUAUAUGACAAAAAGGCAUUACUCAAUUAUCUGACAGGUAAGGAGAAAUAUCACUUAUUGCAAGUUUUAUACUGUGAGCUGUUUUUGCAGCAUAGCUAUAAUUCAAAGAAGCUUUCUAUGUGGGGCAAAAAAAUUGUAUAUUAUGAGUAA